rnacentral:rRNA from 1 species
UACGUAGGGUGCAAGCGUUAAUCGGAAUACUGGGCGUAAAGCGUGCGCAGGCGGUUUUGUAAGUCUGUCGUGAAAUCCCCCGGGCUUAACCCUGGGAAUGGCGAUGGAGACUGCAAGGCUAGAGUUUGGCAGAGGGGGGGGGUAGAAUUCCACGUGUAGCAGUGAAAUGCGUAGAGAUGUGGAGGAACACCGAUGGCGAAGGCAGCCCCCUGGGUCAAAACUGACGCUCAUGCACGAAAGCGUGGGGAGCAAACAGG